rnacentral:sRNA from 1 species
GCCGGGCGUGGUGGCACACACCUGUAAUCCCAAUGGCUUGGGAGGCUGAAGCAGGAGGAUUGCGAGUUCAAAGCCAGCCUCAGCAAAAGCGAGUUGCUAAGCAACUCAGUGAGACCCUGUCUCUA